GCAAAUACAAGAAAAUCAUUCUUUGUAUGCGGACAAAUAAUGUAAUAUGUUGGUUGGUUCUGCGAUAAGGCAUGAAUUCAAAGCCUUGAAAACUUACAAAAUCAUUUAGGUACAGGACUUUUCCAAUGGAUACCAAAGAAAUCAGUUCACUCAUCAAAUGGAAACAAAAAAGACAAAAACCGCACGCUUAUUAACUCCAGUCCAUUAU
rnacentral:misc_RNA from 1 species